rnacentral:rRNA from 1 species
UGCACGGCUAGAGUGUGUCAGAGGGGGGUAGAAUUCCACGUGUAGCAGUGAAAUGCGUAGAUAUGUGGAGGAAUACCGAUGGCGAAGGCCGCCCCUGGAUAACACGGACGCUCAGGCACGAAAGCGUGGGGAGCAAACAGGAUUAGAUACCCUGGUAGUCCACGCCCUAUACGAUGUCAACUAGUUGUCGGGUCUUAAUUGACUUGGUAACGCAGCUAACGCGUGAAGUUGACCGGCUGGGGAGUACGGUCGCAAGAUUAAAACUCAAAGGAAUUGACGGGGACCCGCACAAGCGGUGGAUGAUGUGGAUUAAUUCGAUGCAACGCGAAAAACCUUACCUAGCGUUGACAUGUCAGGAAGACAGAAGAGAGGUGGGAAUGCUCGAAAGAGAGCCUGAACACAGGUGCUGCAUGGCUGCCGUCAGCUCGUGUCGCGAGAUGUUGGGUUAAGUCCCGCGACGAGCGCAACCCUUGUCAUUAGUUGCUACGCAAGAGCACUCUAAUGAGACUGCCGGUGACAAACCGGAGGAAGGUGGGGAUGACGUCAAGUCCUCAUGGCCCUUAUGGGUAGGGCUUCACACGUCAUACAAUGGUACAUACAGAGGGCCGCCAACCCGCGGGGGGGAGCUAAUCCCAGAAAGUGUAUCGUAGUCCGGAUUGUAGUCUGCAACUCGACUACAUGAAGUUGGAAUCGCUAGUAAUCGCGGAUCAGCAUGUCGCGGUGAAU